UCUGCACCCACUGCUGAAGAGAGAAUAAGAAACAUAAUUGUUCUGCUUAAGUGGAGCAAAUAAUUCCAAUUAAUGGGGUCAAUAAAGACAGGGGAGAGCUGGUUGGUGGAGUUUUCUCUGUAUGAAACUUUGCAUCAGUAAUAUAGGUUGCAUAAUUUACUUUCAAUUUAUCAUUGAGUUACCUCACUAGAUCUAUGAGGAGCAUUAGGGCCCAGUUUUUUCCCCUACUUGAGUCAGAGCCACCAGCCCAGCCCCGUCUAACAAGUCCCACCCAUUGACUAAAUCGCUAGAUCCAGAAAUAGAUCCCCUCCACUACACAGCAGCAGCUGGCUGUACCACCAUCAGUGCACCUGUCUCAUCCUCUAUCAGGCAGACAAAUACGAUCCUGCUGUCAGCCCGGCAUGAUGAAACAUUACCUAAAACCAGAGGUUUGCUGAAAACGGACGAACAAUUUCUGAUCAUUUUAAGUCAAAACACCCAGCAGCGACUUACUAGAAGGAAGUGACCAAAGAGGUUGGUGGCAAAAACUUGUUGCAAGCCAUCAGUAGUGACACCAUCUUUCUGAGUCAGAAUACCCUCCCCGGUGGCAAACAUAGUGAUGACAUUGCUGUAAGCACAUGUUUGACGUUGGUCAUGAUAAAAUGAAGGAGGUAUGGAGAGACAGAAAUCAGUGGUGUACCUGGAGAAGAGGCCUUUAAAAAAUGCCUUCACAUCAAAUUCUGGGUUCGGCAUGAUGCCUGCAUUCAGCACUGAGAACUGAGGAGACGCUGCUAGUGUCCAUCUGCAGCAGGUCCACCUGGGCUGCAGGGUAAGAGGCGAGGAGGUCGGAGCGUGCGGCCUGAGCUCUUUGCAUAUUCCUGCACGCUAGGCAGAGAUGGAGACCCUC